rnacentral:miRNA from 1 species
UGAGAGAAGUGAUAUGAACAUUC